rnacentral:rRNA from 1 species
UGUUAGGUCAAGGUGCAGUAUAUAAAAGAAAUAUAUGGGUUACAUUAUAUAUUAUGAAUGAAUUUAAUUUAAAUAAAAUUAAUGAAAUAGGAUUUAAAAGUAAAGUUAAUUUAAGAAUUAUAAUGAAUAAAGAUUCUAAAAUAUGUACACAUUGCCCGUCGCUCUUGUGAGUUAAUAUAAGAUAAGUCGUAACAUAGUAGGGGUACCGGAAGGUGUUCCUGGGAUUAUAGUAAAUAGCUUAAAUAAAAAGUUAAUUAUUUACACUAAUAGGAUAUCUAAUAGAUUUUACUUGGUUAAUAAAAUUAGUAAUGAAUUUAUUAUAAUUAAUUGUGAAAGGGGGCUUUCAUUUAAUUAUAAAAGAGAAAUUAAUUUUAUACCUUUUGUAUCAGGGAUGUUUAAAUUAUGUUAAGUAGUUAAUUUUCUCGAAAAAAAAAGAUUUAAAAUGUAAGUUAUACAUACUUUUUAAUUAUUAUUAUUAUACUUUAUUUUGGUGCUGAGAUAGUAUUCAAUUUUUUUUAUCUAGUUUCUUUUAAUUUAAUUUAAUUAAUUUAAAUUUUUGGUUGUUAAAGUUUAAAAAUCGUUUUAAGGAUAAUCUUGAAUUUUUAUAAAUAGUUAUGUUUAAUAUGUUUUGAAAUUUAGUAUUAAUAUUGUAAUUGUUUGUUAUGUUGUAAUAAAUCAAAAUUUAAUUAAUUUUUUAUUAUUUAGCUUUGGGGGAAGCUAAAGAUUAAUAAUUAAUUUAAUUAAUUAUUAUAAUUAUGAUUGUAUUAGUAGAAUUUAUUAUAUUAGUUGAUAAGAAUUCGGCAAUUUAAAAUUUCGACUGUUUAUCAAAAACAUUUUUACAAGAAAAAUAUUUGUGGUAAUACCUGCUCAAU